GACGAACGCUGGCGGCGUGCUUAACACAUGCAAGUCGAACGAUGAACCCGGAGCUUGCUCCGGUGGAUUAGUGGCGAACGGGUGAGUAACACGUGAGUAACCUGCCCUUGACUCUGGGAUAACUGCGGGAAACUGUAGCUAAUACCGGAUACGACCCUCGGCGGCAUCGCCAGGGGGUGGAAAGAAUUUCGGUCAAGGAUGGACUCGCGGCCUAUCAGCUAGUUGGUGAGGUAACGGCUCACCAAGGCGACGACGGGUAGCCGGCCUGAGAGGGUGACCGGCCACACUGGGACUGAGACACGGCCCAGACUCCUACGGGAGGCUGCAGUCAAGAAUCUUCCUCAAUGGACGAAAGUCUGAAGGAGCAAUGCCGCGUGAUCGAUGAAGCCCCUCGGGGUGUAAAGAUCUUUUAUCAGGGACGAAUUAUUGACGGUACCUGAUGAAUAAGUCACUGCUAACUUCGUGCCAGCAGCCGCCGUAA
rnacentral:rRNA from 1 species